GAUGAACGUUGGCGGCGUGCCUAAUACAUGCAAGUCGAACGAAGACUGUAGUAAUACUGUCUUAGUGGCGAACGGGUGAGUAACGCGUGGGUGACCUGCCCCGAAGUGUGGGAUAACAGUCCGAAAGGAUUGCUAAUACUGCAUAAUAUCCAAGAGAUUAGAUGCUUUUGGAUUAAAGGAGUAAUUCGCUUCGGGAGGGGCCCGCGUCCCAUCAGCUAGUUGGUAAGGUAAUGGCUUACCAAGGCGGAUGACGGGUAGGGGACCUCGAGAGGGUGGCCCCCCACAAUGGAACUGAAACACGGUCCAGUACACCCUACGGGUGGCAGCAGUAGGGAAUAUUGGACAAUGGGCGCAAGCCUGAUCCAGCAACGCCGCGUGGAGGAUGAAGGCCUUCGGGUUGUAAACUCCUGUUAGGGGGAACGAAGGGUCACGGGUUAACAGCCGGUGACCUUGACGGUACCUCCAGAGGAAGCCCCGGCUAACUCUGUG
rnacentral:rRNA from 1 species